GUGUGUGUGUGUGUAUAUAGUCAUUGCGCCACGGUAGUGUUUGUGUGUGUGUGUGUGUGUGUGUAUAUAUAUACACACACACAAACACUACCGUGGCACAAUGACAUAUAGGGCCUG
rnacentral:miRNA from 1 species